rnacentral:rRNA from 1 species
UACUAUGGCCAUGCCACCCUGAACAAGCCCGAUCCCGUCUGAUCUCAGAAGCUAAGCAGGGUCGGGCCUGGGUAGUACUUGAAUGGGAGACCACCUAGAAAGACCAGAUGCUGUAGGUG